AUGGAUUUAGGUUAAGUUUUAAACUAUUAGUUUUCAAAACUGAUGAUGGUAAUCCUUG
rnacentral:tRNA from 1 species